AUGGACUGCAGCCCACCAGGCUCCUCCGUCCACGGGAUUUUCCAGGCAAGAGUACUGGAGUGGGGUGCCAUUGCCUUCUCCACACCUACUGAAUUUUUAUUUUCUGUAUUUCUUUUUUGAAUUGCCUAUCUUAUCUUUAAACCAGGUAUCCUUAGAUAUGCUAAUGCUUUUUUUCCCCUGAACAUGUGUAUCCAGGACAUGUACAUGUGAGGGUUUAAGAGUCAACAGAAGGGAGUAACUACAAGUGCCUGCUUGUCCUUCCCCUCUUCCUUUGAUGACACCUGUUCUUUCUUUGACUCACUCUCUGUGCAUGUCUUUGACGUGUCUGUGCAGGCUCUCCCCACACUCUAAUUCAUGCUGCAGUGUCUUUGCCCUCUGUCUACUUCGGUGUUCUUUCUCUCUGCCUCUGUGCACCCACAUUCUGUUCACUUGUGCUGUCCUCUACGCCACUUCAUGCCGUCUAUUGUCUCACCGUCUCUGCUGUGUAUCUCUUGUGAAAGCUACUCUUUUCCUUCUCUCUCUCUUUCAUGUUUUUGCUGUGCUUGCCUGCUCUCUCCCUCUCUGUUUUUUCUUUCUUUUCCCCUCUCUCACCGUCUGGUUGUAUAUUGGGGUCAAAGAAAAGGAAUAGUUUACUACUGUCAGCACAAAAGAAGUCACAUUCAGUUUUUGUUUAUGAAGAAAAAGCUAAAGAUGAAUGAUUUUUCUGUAUUUUUCACCUCUCAUUAUUUCCAGUUGCCCAUGUUACCAGCAGUUGGGCAAAUGAACAACAUUAACUACCAAGGAGACAUCCAUGAGAGAAUAAAAUGAUAGCUUUAGUACUGUUUAAAUGUUUACUGGUGUUUCUUACAUUUUUAUAAAACAGGCUAAUAUAUCACUCUUCACAGUCACACAUAUAUGGAGAGAAACAACAGUCAAAGGCAGUAUCUUUGAACCCAAGGAUAAAUUUCAUUGUGUUAAGAGAUAAAAAGCAAGCUAUAACAUACACUUGUAUUUAUAUAGCUGGAACAAAAAUAUUAGCAGGUUAUUUUAAGAUUGUGGGUUUAUACAUUUUUUUCUUUUUAAUUUUUCAUGUUUUUGUUUAAACAAGAAUCAACUAUUUUCUAAUAUGAAACCAUAAAAAAAUGUUGUGGCACUAACUAAAAAGUGACCUCAGCCAGACUGAGCAAACAAACAAAACAUUAGUUAAGAGCUGGAAAACAGAAUUCGUAAGCUUCUCACUGUGUUUUAGUUUCUGCCUAAAGUGCCUAUUUGAGUUCCAAUCUAGACAUCAUAAAUCCUUCGAGAAGCAGAGUGAAAGAACAGAAUUAGAAAAGUACUAUACACAGUUUUUAUGCCAAAAUGAAAUAAAAUUUUAACUUCAGCUGCGAAGGAUUGAGUUAAAUAUACUCCUAGGUUCAUGGUGUCUCUUUUAAAAACUUGGUUCCCACAUCCCAUCCUCAUUCGUCUCCUCCUAUAUGCAACUGGUUAUGUAAAUAUCUUUUGACUUAGAGGAGUUCUUACAAAACAUAUAUUCUGUAUAUGUAUAUGUAUUUGUACAUAUACGUAUACAUGUAUAUGUAUAUGUACAUAUGUAUUUGUCAUGUAUUUUCAGCUUAUAUGUAUAUCAUUAUUUUUGUUAUUUUCACUAAGCAUUGUAUUUUUAAGAUGCAUCUACAUUGCUAUUCAUACAUCUAAUUCAGGUUUCUGAUCAUUGCACAGCCCUCCACUGAGUGCAUCUACCGGUUUACCUUUCCCUGUAAUUAACACCCAUGUUAUUGUCAAUUCCCACCAAUGCAAAACACCAGCAGUGCUCAUCCUUGUUCAUAUUGCCUUACGGACCUUGUGAGGCUGUCUUUGGCACAUAAAUCCAGAAGUGGAAUUCUUGGAUCAUAAAUUAUAUGUAUACAUAAUUUUCUGCAUUAGUACCAAAGUACUUUCUAGUCUGUAUUUCUACCUGCAGUGCAUGAAAAUUCCUUUAUUUUGAUUUUUUGGUCAAUUUAUAGUUUUGCCAGAUUAGAAAUACAAGUUUCUAUACCAUUGAAAGGUGAGGGGUUUUUUGGUCAUUUUUAAUUAAAUGUUACUUUUUGUGAGAGUCUACCCUAUCUCCACUCUGUAAUUUCCAAGGGAAGAAAGUCUGUCAGAGACUGCCAAAAUUACUGCUGUGCUUACAACCAGAAUGAAUUCAUAUGUUCAUCCAAACAUAGUAAGGAAUGUGACAAAGUACAAGAAUGGAAUAUUUUAAUUGUUUUUUUAUCAGAUUUUGAUAUAUAACAGAUAAAAUAGCAGUAUUUAAUAGCAGUAUUAACAGUGCUGAUUUAAGAUACCUAUACAAAACUUUAUUCCUAAAACACAGCAUUCACAGUUGUUCCAAAUGCCCGUGGAAUAUUUACAAAGAUUAACUGUACACUUAGGCAAAAUGUUGAUAAAUCCCCAAAGUAGAUUACUAACUAAGCUUAUAUUCUCUAACCACAAUACAGUAAGGUUGGUAUUUAACGGCUGUAACUUUUUUAAGGAAACAUUUUAAAAUAUUCUAAACUUUUGGGCUAUGGGAUAACUAAAAAUUGAGAUUGUAGAAUUUUUUUUUCAUUAAUGAGAGUAAAAGCAAUAUCCAGAUCUUACAGGAUGUGACUAAACCUAUAUUUACAGGAAAAUAUAGAGCCUUUAAUAUUUUAGUUGAGCAAAUUCAACUAGGAAGUAAUUAAAGUAAGCAUUCUAAAAAUUAGUCCCCCAGCUUGAUCAAUAUAACCAAGAUCUGGCUCUUAAAAAAAAAAGACCAAAUCUUUAAUUAUUGUGACCAUAGGAAAAGGGUCGAUGUUAAUAGGUUGGAAGGAUAUAACUCCAGUCAAAGAUGUGGAUUUCUUAAAGAAGAUUACUAUGUGCAAUUUUAGGCUGAUAUAUUUUAAAACCUAUAUUAGAUGGAUGAUUUUCUAAGAAAAUAAGUAGAUCAUUAACAACAAAUUUAAAAGACCAUCAGUAAAUCUAUAGACCUUCCCACCCCUAACUAUGUGCCCUCCAGAAAUUUUGUACAAAUAUAUGUGCUCACCAAAAGUAUGAGGGAGUGUUUCUUCAUUCCUUUGCCAGCUUUGAGUAGUAUCAGUCCUUCUAAUAUUUGUUAAUCUGAUGUGUGAAAAAACUCAUUGCUUUAAAUUACAUUUUUAAAUAUUAGAUUUCAGAGGUUGCUUGUUACAUUUCUUAUUUUGAGAAUUAACUUCCUAUAUACUUGGCACAUUUUUCUCUGAAGAAUUUUUGUUAAUUGUUGAGCAAUAAUUAUAUGAUAUUAAUGAAGGGAAUGGUAACCCACUGCAGUAUUCUUACCUGGAAAAUUCCAUAGACAGAGGAGCCUGGCAAGCUACAUACAGUCCAUAGGGUCGCAAAGAAUCGAACAUGACUGAGCAUGCACUAUCUAAAACCAUCUAGUGGUGUAAUAGCAUUGUUGUAUACUCAACUUUAUUUAUUUGUCACAUGCUAGGAAAGGUCGCUCCAUCCUCAAGAUUGUAAGAAAGUAUUCUCCUUGGUUUGUUGUUGUUGUUUAUCAUGUUUAGGGUAGAGGACAAUGUACUUAAAUCCUUAAUCCUCAUGGAAUUUAUUUUGGUGUGUCUAGGUGAAAUUUUAUUGCCUAAUGUUUAGCUAAUUGUCAGAUUUUUUAACCAGAUAGUGAUAUUCACAAGUUAAUUUAUGAGAAAAAUUAAUACUGUUUUUAAGCUGAGCUUUGAUCAGUUGGACUUGGUAAUUAAUAGCCAUGGUUCUUUUGAAAUUUAUGUGCAAAGCAGCUAAAAUCCUAUGUGAUAAGGUAAUCAAAAUAGAGUGAUAAGAAGAGGAAACUAAUUCUGACUUAUGAAAUAUGGAGUUUUAUUUAUUAAACUUGAAGUUGGAUCAGAGCAUCCAAGUGAAAAUGUCUAAAACCAUAGAUAUAUAUGACCUCAUGAGUGGAAUAAAGAUUUUAGAGCCAUCCAUGUAAAGGUGAUCAUAAUCCUUAUAAAUACUAUAGCCAAGAGGAAAGAUUUGAGAGAAUGCAGGGAAGAAAAAAAGAGUGAGAGGCCCACUGCCAGACCAUAAUUUUUAAGACUCAUGUCAUCUAGCUCUACCACCCUCUGUAAAAUUUUAAUGAUCAUUUUCUAACCUUCUAGUUUUUCCCAUAUAUUAAUUGAGGACUUCAGCUCUUGGUUUUCUUUCUUCUCUACCCCAAACCCAACCAUUAUCUGGAAAGCUUUACUAUGCAUUAGAGAUUUUUUAACCUCAGUUCUAAUGACAAGUACUGCUGUUACAUUUUAACUAUACAGGCUCAUGGCCUUACUUUGAAUUUUGGCAUUAUCCAGGUUUAUUACGUCUCUGCAAUCUUUAUUCAUUUUUGUAUGAAAAGAAAUUUUCUGAGGACCUUUCUGCAGGCACAAUACAUUUUAGAGGACAGGAUAUUUUAUAGUUAUCAUCUACCAUACUUGCAGAAAUAAUUGACCAGUUCUGAUUUUCUAAAUGGUAAAUAAUAGUUCUCACCUGAGUUCUGCUUAAGAUUUAAUCUUGCUUCUCAGAAUUAAAUCUGUGUCAAAAUGUUAUUUUGAGGGCACACACUUUGUGUCAUCUUUUACUGGUUAAUAAGUUUUAGUAUUGAAUCUACAGUUGCCAGUUUGAGCUGCACAUAUCUAAAAACUUUUCACAAGAAAGACUGUCUUUGGGUGCUAUUGACUGUAUUUCUGAUUUUGACUCUGCUUUAUCAACGUGUAUCUCUGGUACUAAACUUGAGUAGUUAUAAAUGAAUUAGCGUAAAUCCAUUACUCUGAAAGAAAAGUAUCUCAGCAGGCACCUUGCUGGCAGAAGGUCAAUGAUAACAAUCUUCAUGCGUGAAGAAUAGCCGUCGAAGGUCGUGUAAGAAAACAUAGACUGUUUCCUACAUUUGGUACAUUUUCCCAAGCUCAGUUUCCACCUGAAAAGCAAUUACUUGGAAACCUUUUUUUUCUGGGUCUAUCUGAUGGUGUGUCUGAUCAAUGAAUAUGGGAAUGAAUUUCACCUAGAUUUUAGUUAAGAAGUACAACAAAAAACCUGAAACAUCUCUGAGAUGGUGGCAGUUUUUUCCUAGUUGUAAUCAGGCAUCAACAGGUGAGUUUACUCUUACAAUAAUAGAAAUUAAAACAGAAGAAGCCAGCCAGUAUGUAUCUCCUUUCAACUCUGCAACAGAAAGCUUAAAAACCAUGGUAACUGGUAAUGUCAGUUGACUUGUGGUCAUUUAAAUCUUUAUGUGUAAGCCCAACUGCAGAGAACUGAGUGGGCUGAUUCACCUCCAAGCCAUGAGGGAUGCUGAGACCACUAUAGGAGCUGCCUAAGACUCUCCCUUGGACUAAGGAAGGUGGGUUGUUGUGGGUUACCAACAGCGUCUGUAAAUGAAUUCAGCAAAAAUUACCUUCUAUCCUGUGUUGGGUCCUCAGCACAGAUUGUCAGACACAGUGCAAGGCUGUGAAUUGUGAUUCUUGUUUGAGGAAGUCAGCAUGGCAUGACUGCAUCAUUCUAACAGUUUGCACUUAGCUCUAGCCAUAGUGUGUAUACAGUGCUGCCAUAUGUACAAUAUCCAGUGCCCACAUUUGUUAGGACUGUUCACUAUUAUAUGAAGAUGACACUGUUGGUACCUUCCUUUGUUCUUAUAUCCCUGAUUCAGUAACAGGAGAUACAAGACCACCAAGCAUGAGCAGCAAUUUUUCUCCAAAUAAAGAUAAAUGUUUAUUCAUAAACUGCUUGUAUUUCAGUUUGCGUACACAAAUAUACACAUUUUAUAGCUUUCUUGAGAUGUUUCACACACCAUAAAAUUCACCUAUUUUAAGUGUACAGUUCAGUGGGUUUUAGUAUAUACAGAGCUGUGCAACCAUCAUCCCAAUUUUAAGGUGUUUUCAAUACCUACCUACCUACCUACACAUUAGCAGUCACUUCUUCCAACUUCCUGCCCCUUCCCUGGCUAUGUUACUAAUCUGCUUUUUUUUCCUCUCUCUCUAGAGUUCUUUUUUCUAAACAUUUCGUUUAAAUAGACAUAAUAUGUGAUCUUUUGUGACUGGCUUCUUUCACUUAAUAUUUUCAAAGUUCAUCUAUAGUGUGGCAUGUAUUCAUUCCUUUGUAUGACCAAAUAAUAUUCCAUUGUAUGAGUAUACAUAUUUCACUUAACUAUUCAUUAGUUAAUGGACAUUUAGAUUUCUUCCACUGUGGGGCUGCUAUCAACAGAGCUGCUGUGAACAUCCAUAUACAAGUUUUUAUGUGGACAUAGCUUAUAUUUCUUUGGGGCAUAUGCCUACGAGUGGAUAGACUCUGGCUCAUAUGGUAAGUCUAUAUUUAGCCCUCUGAAGGACUGACUACCAGAUUGUUAUGCAAAGUAUUGUUACCAUUUUGCAUUCUAAGCAUCAAUAUGUGAAGGUUCUCAUUUCUCCACAUCCUUGAAAACACUUGUUUUUGUCUAGUCUUUUGAUUUUCACCACACUAGAGAGUUAACUAGAUACAUCUUGUUGAGCAAGAAUGUAUUUUUAGACUAUUUUCUAUUUUUAAAUGUUUACCUUUUUACAGACAGGAAUGAACUUAAUCAGAAAGAUUUAAAGUGGAAGCAGAAACACACAUACCAAGACUCCUCAUUUAAUCAGAUAUAAACAUGUGUUCUUUCACACCCAGCGGUGCAUACCAUGCCCAGUCGUGUACUUUGGAAGUGCAGGAGGUCCUCACACUCGUUCUUGGGAAGAACCAUCCACACUUUGCUGCCUCUGCCCCAUAAGGUGCUCCAGCCUCUGCUUCCACAGCUCCACCACUCACUCACUGCUCAUUGGCAUCUCAUUUCAUUUGCCUAGGCACUAGUUGACAAAGGUUUUGAAAAUUUAAAAAGAUCCAAAAUCUGCCUGUGUUAGAUUUCCUGGCUCUGUUCGCAGUUCUGCUCUCUGAAGGCACAGGAAAGAGAUCUAAUCUACUUCUCAGGCCCCCACUUCCUUCCCUGAAGUGUUUUUCUCUCAGGUCUUCACUCAUUGAAGCAGUUCUCACAGGUCAUCCUUUCUACUCCACUUUCCUAAGUUGGCAGCUUCUGGGUCUAUUUGUUGAUAUCCUGUAUUUAAACAUGUCCCUUUGAAUUACAUAUGGUGUGCCUCAGAUAGUAACAGCAGAUUUAUCAUCCUCCUUUCUGUAAACUAAACGGGUAAAGCAUCUGCCUGCAAUGCAGGAGACCCGAGUUCGAUCCCUGGAUUGGGAAGAUCCUGUGGGGAAGGAAAUGGCAACCCACUGCAGUACUCUUGCCUGGAAAAUCCCACGGACGGAGGAGCCUGGUAGGCUACAGUCCAUGGGGUUGCAGAGUCGGACACGACUGAGCCACUUCACUUUUCACUUUCUGUAAACUAGAACACUGCUAUGGCCUAACAUGUUUUACUCCUAUUGAACUCACCAAAGCCAUUACUUUAUUGCCACACUUCCUUAUUUUUGUUUCAUUUAUUCUCAUUUUUUAAACUGAUAAUACAAUCACAUGGUACAAAAUUUAAAAUACAUUAAGCAUUUGAUAAAGUCUCUUCCCUCCCCUGUUCCCCAGGCACCCAUCUUUUCAGAGUUACUCAGUGUUGCUAGUUCUUGCACAUCUUUAGAGGUUUUUAAACAGCUUUAUUGGAGUAAGUUUACAGAGCUGUGCAGUCAUCACCACCAUCCAGCCUUAGAACACUUCUGUCACCCGGAAAAGUCUCAUACCUGUUUAUAACCAGUUCACAUUCCCAGCCCAAGACGAACUCCCAUAUUCCUUUUUUCUGCAUGUUUCAUAUAAAUGGAGUUACGUAAUAGCUAGUCUUUUGUAUCUAGCUUCUUACGGAUAUUUUCAGGAUUCACCCUUACAGUAUGUAUCAGUACUCCUUUUAUUGCUGAUUAGUAUUGUGUGGCUCUACCAUAUUUUGUUUGUCUGAUGGCCAGUUGGACAUUUGCAUUGUUUGAUUGGGGGGCGGAUAAUAUGAAUAAUACUGCUCCGAAUUUUUGUGUAGACACAAAAAUUUUUAUGUGGACUCAUUUCUUUUUAGUAUAUACCUAGGAGUGGAAUUGCUGGGUCAUAUGGUAAGUUUAUGUUUAGUUUUUAAGAAAAAUCCCAAAGUGUUUUCCAAAGUAGCUGUAUCAUUUUGCAUUUUCAACAGAAGCUUGUGAAGGUUCCAGUUUCUCCACUUCCCUGUCAACACUUGGCACUGCACAUCUUUUUGGUUACAGCCAUCCUAGUGGCUAUAAAGUGGUAUCACAUUGUGACUUUAGUUUGUUUCCCUCAUGACUGAUAGUGUUGAAAUCUUUUCAUAUGUUUAUUGGCCACUCUUAUAUCUUCUUUGGUAAAAUAUCUAUUCAAAUCUUUUGUCCAUCCCACAUACAUGAAAUAUCUCACAACUUAUUUAGGCCUUUAAUUUCUCCCACCAAAGUUUUAUAGUUUUCAUUGUACAAGCCUUGCACUUCUGUUGUUAAAUUUAUUCGCUGAUAUUUUAUUCUUGUUGAUGCUACUGUGAAUGGAGUUUGUUUCCUUACCUUUAUUUUCAGAUUGCAGUUGACAAGAAUAUAGACAUACAAUUGAUUUUUUUAUCUUCUUGACCUUAUAUUCCACAAUCUGGCUAAACUUUUUUAUUUGUUUUAAUACUUUGUAGAUUCCUUAGUAUUUUCUACAGAUAGCAUCAUGUCAUCUGCAAAUAAAAAGUUUUACUUCUUCCUUUCCAA